rnacentral:rRNA from 1 species
UACGUAGGGGGCAAGCGUUAUCCGGAUUUACUGGGUGUAAAGGGAGCGUAGACGGCGGGGCGAGUCUGGAGUGAAAGGCCGGGGCCCAACCCCGGGACCGCUCUGGAAACUGCCCGGCUGGAGUGCGGGAGAGGUAAGCGGAAUUCCUAGUGUAGCGGUGAAAUGCGUAGAUAUUAGGAGGAACACCAGCGGCGAAGGCGGCUUACUGGACCGUGACUGACGUUGAGGCUCGAAAGCGUGGGGAGCAAACAGG